GACCAUGCUCCACCACUCCUUGAAACUUCCCAAUCUCUUUAGCCGCAGCGAAUCCAUCCUUCAAAGGAGUCUUAAAAUACAAAUCAAUAAUGUAAUUACUGUUAUCAGUCACAUAAGGCUUGCCAUCACCAUCAACUCUAAGCUUUGAUUCACAUCCAAAUUCCUUGAAGAGGUCUUGCAAUCUAAUCAAAUUAAAGUUCCAGCAGAAUUGAACAACUUCCACCGGCAUAGCUAA